CUUGUUGGUCUCCUCCUCAUCAUGGCUCUAGUGGCGAGUUUCUAUUGGGCCAAACGACAUGUCAAAUGUUGUGGCGGAGAGGGACUGUCGUCAAAGGAUGUGUUCAAUUUACUUAUACAAUUGGUUGCUUUUAUUCUGCUUUGUGGUUUAUUUGCUUAUUUGGUAUUUUUGGUUUAGAUUAGUAACCUAAAGCCAUAGCAGAUCGAUAAUGCGACUCUGCAAAAUUUUCUCUUUA